AGGCGAGCCGGGAUGAGCCCGGUGAACAACGCACCGUCGUUCCCCGGGGCCCGGGGCCUCUAUCCCCCUCUCCUAGGCGCUCUGGAGGAUCGGGCGUAGACUGACCAGCCCAUCCGAGGACUCCCAGCACCAUCACUCUGGAAACAGCGGCCCGGGAUCGGGAUCCCUCCUCCUCUCCGAAGCUCUUCGGCUCCAGCAUCCUACUUGUGGCAUCCUUGGGGGCCCGGGACCAGGGCAGAAGGGAGCCCCCGCCUCGCCCCACACCUCAUCCCUGUCCGGGAGAGGGGGGAGAGGGGGGGAGAGGAGGCCGGACGCUCGGACUCCACUCUUCCUUUCACGCUCCUGUCGGUCUGCGGCCCUUCUGGCUCUCCAGCUGAGCUGCCCAGGUGAUCCUGCUGACAGAAGCUUCCCAGAGCAGCAGGACUUAGUCGCUUGUGACUUUAAGAGCACUGGUCCUAAUCGUCUGACGUGGUGCCAUUAAUAUUGCCACGGUCCCCAAUAGUUGGUGUUCCCUGUGAAGAAUCAGCCAGAAAACAAGAAAAAUGGGAAAAUGCCAAAUGGAGACAUCCUGAAGCGGCCAGAUUCUUCUGUAAGAAUCAGACCUUCAACCUGGGAAUUAGACCUUGCACCAGCAGAGAGCCUGAGCUGAUGUGGUGACCCAGGUUCUGCUACAGAGAUGGAACCAACCACAUUUAUCUUGGGUUUCACAGCUAGCGCAAACCCAGAGUGAUGUAUCUCUGCAUCGAUAAGAAACUGGUGAUGGGCAGAUGAAAGCUUUGAGACUUUUCACGUUUUACCCUGUUCACUAAUAAAGCUUGGGAGCAAACACUUUC